UAAUACAUGCAAGUCGAGCGAACGGACGAGAAGCUUGCUUCUCUGAUGUUAGCGGCGGACGGGUGAGUAACACGUGGAUAACCUACCUAUAAGACUGGGAUAACUUCGGGAAACCGGAGCUAAUACCGGAUAAUAUUUUGAACCGCAUGGUUCAAAAGUGAAAGACGGUCUUGCUGUCACUUAUAGAUGGAUCCGCGCUGCAUUAGCUAGUUGGUAAGGUAACGGCUUACCAAGGCAACGAUGCAUAGCCGACCUGAGAGGGUGAUCGGCCACACUGGAACUGAGACACGGUCCAGACUCCUACGGGAGGCAGCAGUAGGGAAUCUUCCGCAAUGGGCGAAAGCCUGACGGAGCAACGCCGCGUGAGUGAUGAAGGUCUUCGGAUCGUAAAACUCUGUUAUUAGGGAAGAACAUAUGUGUAAGUAACUGUGCACAUCUUGACGGUACCUAAUCAGAAAGCCACGGCUAACUACGUGCCAGCAGCCGCGGUAAUACGUAGGUGGCAAGCGUUAUCCGGAAUUAUUGGGCGUAAAGCGCGCGUAGGCGGUUUUUUAAGUCUGAUGUGAAAGCCCACGGCUCAACCGUGGAGGGUCAUUGGAAACUGGAAAACUUGAGUGCAGAAGAGGAAAGUGGAACUCCAUGUGUAGCGGUGAAAUGCGCAGAGAUAUGGAGGAACACCAGUGGCGAAGGCGACUUUCUGGUCUGUAACUGACGCUGAUGUGCGAAAGCGUGGGGAUCAAACAGGAUUAGAUACCCUGGUAGUCCACGCCGUAAACGAUGAGUGCUAAGUGUUAGGGGGGUUUCCGCCCCUUAGUGCUGCAGCUAACGCAUUAAGCACUCCGCCUGGGGAGUACGACCGCAAGGUUGAAACUCAAAGGAAUUGACGGGGACCCGCACAAGCGGUGGAGCAUGUGGUUUAAUUCGAAGCAACGCGAAGAACCUUACCAAAUCUUGACAUCCUUUGACAACUCUAGAGAUAGAGCUUUCCCCUUCGGGGGACAAAGUGACAGGUGGUGCAUGGUUGUCGUCAGCUCGUGUCGUGAGAUGUUGGGUUAAGUCCCGCAACGAGCGCAACCCUUAAGCUUAGUUGCCAUCAUUAAGUUGGGCACUCUAAGUUGACUGCCGGUGACAAACCGGAGGAAGGUGGGGAUGACGUCAAAUCAUCAUGCCCCUUAUGAUUUGGGCUACACACGUGCUACAAUGGACAAUACAAAGGGCAGCGAAACCGCGAGGUCAAGCAAAUCCCAUAAAGUUGUUCUCAGUUCGGAUUGUAGUCUGCAACUCGACUACAUGAAGCUGGAAUCGCUAGUAAUCGUAGAUCAGCAUGCUACGGUGAAUACGUUCCCGGGUCUUGUACACACCGCCCGUCACACCACGAGAGUUUGUAACACCCGAAGCCGGUGGAGUAACCAUUUGGAGCUAGCCGUCGAA
rnacentral:rRNA from 1 species